rnacentral:rRNA from 1 species
UGGGGAAUAUUGGACAAUGGGCGCAAGCCUGAUCCAGCCAUGCCGCGUGAGUGAUGAAGGCUCUAGGGUUGUAAAGCUCUUUCACCGGUGAAGAUAAUGACGGUAACCGGAGAAGAAGCCCCGGCUAACUUCGUGCCAGCAGCCGCGGUAAUACGAAGGGGGCUAGCGUUGUUCGGAUUUACUGGGCGUAAAGCGCACGUAGGCGGACUAUUAAGUCAGGGGUGAAAUCCCGGGGCUCAACCCCGGAACUGCCUUUGAUACUGGUAGUCUUGAGUUCGAGAGAGGUGGGUGGGAUACCGGGUGUAGAGGUGAAAUUCGUAGAUAUUCGGAGGAACACCAGUGGCGAAGGCGGCUCACUGGCUCGAUACUGACGCUGAGGUGCGAAAGCGUGGGGAGCAAACAGG